AUGGCGAAAGCGCCUCGUCCGAGGGGAUGGAGCACCAAGCGCAACAUCCUGGCGGCUCUCCCCGGGGCCCUUGUCACCGGCGUCGUCGUCAUCGCGGUCUCGGCGGUCCUCACCCCGGCAGAGGUCGUCUUCACGGUCACCAACGCCACCAGGUCCGAGUGGGAGCUGCAGCUCAUCCUCUCCGCAAACGACACGAGCCACCGCGCCUGGGUCGAUUACCACAGCUUCAUCGUCUACCUGGUGUACACGGCCAAGGGGACGGUCUACAAGGUGCCGGCGGAUGUGGCGCCGCCGACACCCCAGCGGCCGGGAACCACGGCGAACAUGAGCGUGUCGGCCAGCUUUGCCUUGAAUAACUUGCCGACAGCCGGGGAAGGUGGUGGCACGCCGGAGAUCAGCGUGCUGGUGCUGGCCGUGGUGAGGUUCACUGUCGGGCCGGCUUACACGAGGCCGUACGACGUCAGGGUGCUGUGCGACCCCGUCGACUACUUUGGCGCCAAGAAUCUUAGCUUUCCUGUAAGAUGUGCUGCUUGA
rnacentral:rRNA from 1 species